rnacentral:lncRNA from 1 species
CUGAGCAGACUGCCCUGUGCUACACAGUAGGACCUGGCUGGUUUUUUAUUUUAAAUAUAGCAGUUGAACCCAAAAUAUACCAGUUGAUCGCCAAAUUCCUAAGUGUCCCUUCCCCCCACCCAUCCCUCUAACAACCAUAAGUUAAGUCUGUGAGUUUGUUUCUAUUUUGUAGAUAAGUUCAUUUGUAUCAUUUCCUUUUAGAUUCCACAUAUAAGAGGUCAUAGAAUGUUUCUCAGUCUCUGUCUGACUUAGUUCACUUAGCAUCACAGCUUCUAAAUUCAUCGAAGUUUUAAGUAUUUUAUGGUACUUUAAAAAUAUCAAGCAUUAUCACUUACAAUUUGUCAUGAAAUAAUUUUAUUUCAUAUUAGAAAUUAUCAGAUUGACAAGUACUUUCUUGAAAACACAUUGCCAGUUGUUAACUUGAGCAUACAAUGUAGAAUCAGGACACCUAAAUUUCAGUAUGUCUCUUUCACUAUUUGGCCAAGUGAAAACUUUUGGAGCUUUAAUUUUUACAUUUGUAAACUGCUAGAAGUCUUCAUACAGGUGCACUUCAUUUUAUUGUGCUUCACUUUAUUGCAGACUGCAUAUAUUGUACUUUUUGCAAAUUGAAGGCCUGUCACAGACAUGUGGUGAAAAAGUCUUUUGGCACCAUUUUUCCAGUAGUAUUGCUCACCCUAGUCUCUGUGUCACAUUUUACUAGUUUUUUCAAAUGUCAAAAUUUCUCAUUAUUAUUACGUUUGUUAUAGUGAUCUGUGAUCAGUGGUCUUCAAUGUUACUAUUUUAAUUGUUUUGGGCACCAAGGAAUUAAUAAAAGUGUGUGUGCUGCCUGCUCCAUGAACUGGCCAUUCCCCCGUCUCUCUCCCUCUUGCCAGGCAUUCUUAUUCUCUGAGAUACAACAAUAUAGUAAUUAGGACAGUUAAUAUCCUGGCAGAAAGUGAAGAGGAGCUAAAAAGCCUCUCGAUGAAAGUGAA